UGUUGAACAUCUGGAAUCAGAUUGAGUCAGGCUGCAUUGACUGUGGGACUUUUCUGUGUUAAAAGCAGGUUGAAGACGGCUCAGAAACAUUUGACGAUUAAAAUUUACAUUUAUUUAUUAAUUAAUUAAUUUAUGGCUGCUGGUGAUUUGUAAAGCCUCUACUCAGCUGUAUUUUUGUUACUAAUUUAUGUUUGUUGUUGUUUAACACAGAUUUCAGAAGAGCAAAGAUGAGCACUGUUGCUUAAUCCUUAAUAGUUUAACUGGAUUGGAAAUAAAAAAAAUCCUGAUUCUUCUUCCACAGAAGUUUCAUUUGUCAGUGUGGAUCUGCUGAGUCACCUGAAGAACUCAUUUCAUUCUCCACAUGAUGUUCAUUUACAGAAAUGUUUCACAGGAACUGAUUCCUCCCAAAGGGUACAGUACAUGAUAUUAAGGGCAGGCGGUCAUCACUGGGGGAAGACAAGAAGCAGACGUACUUCCAAGAGGGAGCUGCAGUGAGGACACAGCCUGGUCACUGAGGUCAGAGGAGGCGCUGAAAGGUUUCCCUAAUAGUUCCUGGUGAAUCAAAGCAGAACCAUAAAGGUUGCUGGACUGCAUCGUGGCCUUACCCCUGAGCAGUCAUCCUGUUAAAGGAGGAACCAGUUAGAAGCUGUUUUCAAAGUAGCUGAGCAGAUUUCAUCUCAAGACCAACGUGGAUCGAGAAGUCAGCGCUCUCAGGAGGCCGACAAUUUUGUUGAAGAAAGAAGUGGAAGAAAAAAAUACAACCGUGACGAGUUUGGGAAAGAUUUUACUGUGAAAGCUUCCCUAAAAAUGCA